UACAGAGGGGGCAAGCGUUGUUCGGAAUUAUUGGGCGUAAAGAGCUCGUAGGCGGUCUGUUGCGUCGGCUGUGAAAACCCGGGGCUCAACCCCGGGCCUGCAGCCGAUACGGGCAGACUAGAGUUCGGCAGGGGAGACUGGAAUUCCUGGUGUAGCGGUGAAAUGCGCAGAUAUCAGGAGGAACACCGGUGGCGAAGGCGGGUCUCUGGGCCGAUACUGACGCUGAGGAGCGAAAGCGUGGGGAGCGAACAGG
rnacentral:rRNA from 1 species